GAAGAGCUAGGAGAGACCAGCGGGCGGUAGCUGCGGCGAGUGGCCUCUCCGUGCGGCACAGAGGCAAGAAGCAGCCAUCCAUCCAGAAGCAGCCUCCGUGUUCCGUUUGUCCGGAUGUCAUCGUAGGUGGCCGGCAUCUCUGGCUUUGGGCUUCUCCCCUGGGGGCGGGUGGGUGCUCCACCCUCCCGCCCACUCUCUGAGGACAUGAGGAACAUGGUAUCCAGCACCACGGACAGCUCCCAGCGAUCCCAGAGGACUCAAGGCUAUGGGUGAUGUCGAAGGUGCGGAAGAAUCAAGUUGGAAAGACCAGCAGGAGACAGACAGAGUAAGGUUCCUUGAAUGCUUGGUUUAUGUGCCUGGCUGGAGGAGACACCCAUGGCCUUGCAGAGGGAGCGUUCUGGUGGGAAAGCAGACACAACCCACCCUAGGCCCGUGGUUUCCCUGCAAGAAGCCCAGUGGCUUUCUGGAGGACACUUUUCCUGGAGGAAGUGACUCAAGAGCAGCAUAAGCCAGGCUCUAUGGAAUGUUGGGUGAGCUGCUUGAGGAACUCCAAGGCCUGUCCCACAGUCUUCCAGCCUCCGACUCUCCGGCCCUCAGCGAGGAAGUCCCACUGGUUUUUUUGGUUGGUUUUUUUUUUUUUUUUUAAGGUUUUUUGGUUUUUUUUUUUUUUUCUCAUUCCUGUCUUGGGAGCUUUCCCCAACCAGGAGAGUGAAGAUGGGCGGAGCUGUCACACCAACUGUUAGCCUGCCUUGGCUGAGAGGAGAGGAGGCGAGGAGGGAGCGACCACCCAGCUUUAGUCGUUUUAAAACAGCUCCUGACCCUAGAAGAAGGGAAAUGGAGAUGAAGACCCAAUUGACUUGAGAGAGUGAUCUUUCAGCAGACUGAUCGAACACACAGGCUUCUCAGCCCACUCCCUCCAGUCAAGGUUAAGGCCUGGCAAAGGUGGAGGAAGAGAAGCUGAGGAGAAAAAGGCGAGGAGAGCCUAGGCACAGGAAGGUGACCGCUUCCCUCCCUCCCAGUGCUGAUUUCCUGUGGACCAGAUUCCAGCACAGUGGAGGGCCAGAGCUCAGGGAACAGACCCAGCAGCACAGCAAGUCUCCAAGGAAAGCUCUAGCAGUCUCCAGGGGCUGAAGGCAGGACUGGGGAAGCGGCUAGCCAGGCUGCAGAAGGCAAAUGCUCCCAGACGGCUGUCCAGCACGCAUCCGCCUUCCUAGCCAAGUUUCCUGGGCUCCUGCCACAGAUCUAAGCCUCAUCCUGACAUCCUGCCCUCUGUGCUCUGGGAUGGCCCAGGGGAGAUGCUUAGCCUUGGCUCCUUGUCUGCUGGUGGAGGGGACACACACCCUUUCUGGACCACAGACCAAAAAGAAGACCUGACGUCAUCCUGAGCACCCCCGCCAUGCAGAGUGUGUUCGCAGACUGCCAACGGGCUGGCUCCGGCCAGCAGAAGUGAACAGAGGUGGAGGUUCAGCCUGACAGCUUCUCCCCAAAGCCAUGGAGAGAAAACCUUACCACCCCCACCGCCCAGCUACUUCCAGCAAGUUGUCCAGCCUGACCCCUCUAUUUCCCCUGUUGUCUCUUAUCUGGGUCCCUGAGACCCACCCCAUCUCCAAUAAAGAACAUUGCAUACUGUG
rnacentral:lncRNA from 1 species